AUGUGUGCAGUGUCCUGCUGAGAAAUGUACUGAUCACUUAGACUACAUGUAUUUGGUGCCUUUCUGGGUAGAGUGAUGCUCAACAG
rfam:Equus caballus chromosome X, whole genome shotgun sequence.